rnacentral:rRNA from 1 species
AGAGUUUGAUCCUGGCUCAGGAUGAACGCUAGCUACAGGCUUAACACAUGCAAGUCGAGGGGCAGCAUGUUGGUUGCUUGCAACCAAUGAUGGCGACCGGCGCACGGGUGAGUAACGCGUGUCCAACCUACCCUUGUCCAUCGGAUAACCCGUCGAAAGGCGGCCUAACACGAUAUGCGGUUCUCAGCAGGCAUCUAACGAGAACGAAAUGUGAAGGAGAAGGAUGGGGAUGCGUCUGAUUAGCUUGUUGGCGGGGUAACGGCCACCAAGGCGACGAUCAGUAGGGGUUCUGAGAGGAAGGUCCCCCANAUUGGAACUGAGACACGGUCCAAACUCAUACGGGAGGCA